GCCUUCGACUCCUACUUCACCAAGCCGUGGUCGGCCUCCUUCAUAUCCUCGCCCACCUCGAUCCUGACCACCUCGUCGCCCCCGAUCUCGCCCCCGACCAACUCGCCCCCGAUGUCCCCGAACCAACGCGGCGGCUGCUGCGGGUCGCCCGGAUCGGUGAGCGAGCUGGUGGCCUGCAUGAGGAAUAUGCAGAUCGCCAAGAUGAAGAUGAGCCCCCGCGGGCAGAUGGGGGGGUCUCUCUUCGGGUCCCCGCUCCGACCCGGGUGCCACCUUGCGGCGCCGGUGACUCCCAGGGCCGAGUCUUCACCGCGGUACGGGCAACUCGGCGGUGGAGGCGGGCUCUUUGAUCUGUGGGAGUCUCACCGUCGCUGCGAGGAGGAGCCUUCCAUGGAAAGGGUCGAGUCCGGGAGAGAUUUGAGGGCUAAGAUGUACGCCAAGCUCAGCAAGGAGAAUUCCCUCGAUGGCGCCGACCUGGUAGGGACCGGAGCUAGUCCCGACGUGGGGUGGGUCUUUGAGCUGGUCAUGUGAAGGCCGAAGAAGCACCUUCGAGUCCUCCCCGAGUCGACUUGGAGCUCGAAUUUUGUUUGGGUCGAAAGAAGUGAUUUUUUGGGGGCUGGUGGGCGGUGUUCAGCAAUCGGGUGGCCUGUUGAUUAAUCUCUGACUCGGAUGUGUGAAUAUAUCUCGUGUUCAUUUCCGUUGAUGAUGAUGAUUACCUUCCUUCUUCUCAAGGUGUAAAUAUUGCCUAGCGGGAGAGAGAUUUCAAGUCUCUGUUUUGUGGUCCGAUGACUUUCCAGUUACCUCUCUUUGUAAAUGAAGUUCCAGUAAGCAUUCUUAAAAUAUUCGCAAUGCAAUUGCAGAUUUCUGUAUAGGAAGAAACUAGAACGUGGAAGUUCGAUCUGGGGUUUUGGCUUUUUUGGGGCUUGCAUUGUUGAUUAUCGUUUUUUGGUCAAGUCCUUGAAAUCUCUGUUUCGUCUCAUUUUCUCGGAUUAUAAAUGCUAAUUUCCCUUUCAUGAGUGCUCUGUUCUUUACUCUGCUCUGUUCAUGCUUUCUUACUUGUUCGGACUCCAGUGAGAGGAAUUAGUCACAUCAUUAGCACAGUGAUUACGAGAUCAAGAGUGGUGAUUAAAGAAACAUAUCUCUCCACCCGACUCUGUCCCCAGCAUGCGGAAAAGACCGGUUCAGCACCUGGGUUUAUCUUCCAACUCCGUAUAACAGAUAAAGAAAAGCCAGAUGAGGUUCUUGAUGUGGACGUGUUUGGGUCGAGUUGAUAAGAGCGGAUGAUCCCCAUCCUUAUCUGCUAAAGCUUUUUCUCGCCUUUUCCCGGUUUUGAAAAAUGGAAGAUUUGAUCACAGUAAUCAGGAGAUCUUCUUUUGUCGUGCCACUUGCGUUUUGACUGGAGUGUGUUGAUGAUGAUGAUGAUGAUGAAUUAGGUGGGGGAAUGGGACAAGACAUGGUCAAGCAGCGACCGUGUAGCAUUGGCUCCCCCACCUCGCGAAACGGUCUGCUCUGCGUUAUCUUAUUAUGUACAUUGGUUAGUCUCGUCGUUUGAAAUGGGUUUGUAAUUUGAAUUCGAUUGGAUUGUGUUCUAGAAUCCGAGUGACUCGAGUGAUUAUUAAUGGAUGUAUAUCCAUAAAAAGUAAAAGCUCGAUUCAAAACUCAAUACUAAAUUGAAUCAACAGAUUCGAGUUAAGAUUGCGUGUUAAACAAGUUGGCUUAAUUGAGUUUCGAUUGCUUGACUUGAUUUGAUUGCAAUUUUAAUUAUUUCAAAUUUUGGUUCAACGUGACAAAAUUGAACUGGAAAAAUUCUUCCCAUUUUCCAAGAAAAAGAGAGCCAUGUAUUUUUUUCGCUCAAAUUUGCCUCAACGAUGAAAUCCCUCAUGAAGUGGUUCUUCGAUUUUAUUAAGAAGGAUAAGUUUUAUAGCGAUUCCUAAUAGGAAGCAUCGCAAGUGUACUAGGAAAUCAAUGAUAUACUUUAAAAUGGAGAUACAAUAUCGGAACUCAUGCAAACACUUGUAUUUAUAGGGUGUUGGGAGGCAUGGGGUUCCCGCUCCCCAAUGAGCCGUCAAAGGGUUCUUAUAGCUUUAAUUUAUACUAUAUUGAUAAUUUUGGUUUGAGUCCAUGAAUAAUUUACUUGUGAUAUAUAAUUUUUCUCUUGCAAUUGAGGGUUGAAACAGAGAGGUGGGAUGUGCUAAUUAUAAUGGAAUUCUCUAUUGGAUUCUACUGGAUGUGGCCUUAAUUUAUUAUGAAUUGGAAUAAACCUUAUAUUUUGAUUAAUCUUUCUUACAUUUAUUCUCUAUUUCAUUGUGUUUGAAUGCAUGACCCUAACAUAGUUUUCACAGCAUAAUUGCCUACCAUUAGUUCUUAAACAAUUUUAAUCAUGCCUUCACAUCUUCGUAUCUUCAUGUCACCAUGACUUCUCAUCUCCAGGUGGUUGCUAAAUUUUGAUAAAUGCUUAGCUUCAGAAUUACAAGAAGUUACAACAACACCUCUCCACAAUAAGCUUAGGUAGUGCAUAGGAACAUUUUUGUUUCUCUAUUCUUUUGUUCUUUUGUUCCUAACAAAAAAAAGAAUAGAAAUCUGUUUGGUAAUAUUAACUAAUUUUUCUAUUUCCUAUAAUAAAAAAAUAACAGGGAAAUAGAUUUGGAAAAGAAAAAAAAAAGUAAACUUCUUAUUCUUGAGAACAAUUUCUAAAAAUAAGCAUUUUUUUUAAUUUUUAAUUUUCUUUUCUUUUUCUUCCUUGCCGCUCCAUGCAGGUUGCCAUUCGCCGGCUAGUUGCCUCUCACCACCAUUGGCUUAGUUAAAAUUAAAAUAAAAAAGAAGAAAGAAAUGAAACAAAAACUGACCGAUUCCCAUGUAAACUCUAGAACCAAUAUGAGAAUUGAUUGACAAGAUAGGUUCUAGGGUACGUAGGUUCUGGAUUAAAAAAACUGAGGAACCGGUUCCAAUUGAUCUGGAGCAAUCCUAAAAUUGUUCACCCCUAGUUACAUGUCAAUGAUUUCAUCUCAAGACACCAAAUUUUGUUGUCGAUAGCUUCCUUGGUUAUCCAUGCUCUUCAAGCUAUCCACAUUUAUCUAAAGGGGCUUAAAUAUAUGAAAAUAUUUCUACUCAUCAAGUUGUCAACUGUUCUUUUCAUCGAUGACUUUUGCUCUUUACCAAUCUCUAUUCUUAUCAACUAAGUCUUAUCAUUUUUUAGUGUAAACACAUAGUUGUAUCUGUAAAGUGAUUUAUGCGACUAGUAUUCUAAACUUGUAAAUGAUGAAAGGAUGACUUCCUUGUUCUCACCUUUCUCUUUAAACGACAUUCAAAGGGGGUAGUAGAGAGAGACAUGCCAUGUGGGGACAAGACUUCAAUUUCAAGAUUCAAUAAAGAAGCAAGGAAAAGGCCGACAAAGUAGGUGGCAGUUCCAAGAUCUUGGGUUAAUCUUUAAUCCUUCUCCCAUCGAACUCACCAAACCAAAGGCCCUAAAAAGCAAUAUACAUGCACCCGUACCCUCCUAAAGAUGUCCCGAUACAGCUUAAUUUCUCACACUUCUCGCAUAAAUGUCGCACUGCACAAAAACUUUUGUAUGUCUUUUGUGUAAUACGAUCAAUUGAGAUUUGUUCUCUCACGAACUCUCCUGGGUUCUAAGAAUUUGAUACUCGGGAACUUACGAAAGUGUCAACAUCUUAAUUGCUCGACGUACAUAAUUAUGUGUUUUUACCGAACUUUGUUCUUCUUUUUUUUUUUCAAUCACUCGUUACUUGAGUGAUCUUUUGAAGAAUAUAAUUCCUGUGGAGCCGAAGAGAUCAAGGGCGCAGGCUUGAAUUCCGAGGUACAGUCAAUUGGAGUUUCUUUUUCAUAGUGGCGACGAAUCAUUAUCGGCCGGAGGAAACUGAGGGAAGAAACAUUAUCAAAGCAAAAGAACAGGAUGCCGUGUCUACCCAAAUAUAGUCACGAUUUUGCGGCUCGAAUCGAUGCUACGAGUGGCGUAAAGCUAGAGGACGAUAUCCAAUCCAUGAUCGCAUUAUUUCCUUCAUCAAGAGCAGCUGAAUGGUAGCGUCCCAAACGUGUGAUGGCCCCAGUCGCCUUCCUUCUCGAGAAAGCAAAAACACAAAGAAGACGGAGAAGAAUCGAAUUCAAACGCCACCAACAGCAGAGACGAGUCCAAAUCGUGGGAGGGCAUCGCACGUCCGCGGGCGGUGGUUAGGCGACAAUAUCCAAAGCUGCUGUCAACUCAGCGGGUAUCAAAAUUAUGGAUAAGGGAGUCGUGACCACCUCGCUCCGGUCCCUUUCAUGGGACUACAAACGCCUUUGUCGUUUUUGGACGGCAUUGUCUCUCCUUUCGAUGACACUUGCGAUAAAUCUAUUAAAAUCUUAGGAUAAAAUUGGAUAAAUGUGACAUGUACGUAGUAUCUUAAUAUUUUUUUAUAACACGAAAUUUAAUGUAUUGUGAAAUGCAAUGAGAAUGUAUUAAUUUGAGAUUUUUUAUGAUGUUGAUCUUAUGUAAUUAUUUAUGAAUCGCUAGAUUUUAUCGAUGACUUUUUUUAAUUGAUUUUUUGUUUGGAAAUUUUGUGGUGCUCCUCUCUUGCAUUCCCACUCAGCUCUUCAUUUUCCAAGUUGCUGUCCAUUGAAGCAAACACCUUCAACGGCCACGUGGGAGAUUUGGGAUUCGGAUAGGAUCAAGAAAACCCCGAGGAGCAUAUCUCGAGUGGGGUUCUGAAUUUUCCUAUUCUCAGAUUUCAUUUUUCUUAUCUAAUCUCGAUUGCAUAUCUUGAUUAGAGAGUCUCCAAGAUUGAUUGACUUUGAAGCUAGCAAAUGAUUGAUGGACAUGUCGAGAGUUUCAUGUGAUGUCUACACGUGGGGAUUUUAUCAUUCUCUUGGAUAGAUAUCAUGUGGAACCCAUGUAUUAUUUUAUAUAUUGGGCCUGGAUUUUAUGUUUAUGUUUGAAAAAUAUUGGUUACGAGAGUUCUCUUCUCGUUUUUGCUAUCUCGAGGACUGGGAGGAGAGAGGUUGUUGUUGCAUCUUUGUAGGAGGGGGCCACAUCUCUGAAUUUUGUAAAGGAAACCAUCAAUGAGGUGGGGGAUGAACAUGGAGUGUGUGGUUUGCCUCCAAAAUGGCCAUAGCUUUGUCUUGAAUGGACCUAGUCGUGAAAUUGAUUUGAUUGAAUGAGAUGAGAUAAGACUAGGGUAGGAUAACAUUAUGCAAAUCAAAAUGUUAAGGAUAUGAAUUUGACGUGUCAAAAAAAAAAAGAUUACUAAAAUAUGUCACUAAUUGUAAGUAUGAUGGAUAAGGAAGUGGCUUAUGUUCAAAUUUAGAAACCCAACAAAUUCGAGGUAUUAUUUAGUGGACUGAUAACGAGCAUACAAAAUUUACAAUCAAUAACUUUGUAUUUUAGAGUACCUAUAAUAUAAUUAAGAAAGGAAACACUAUUGGACACUAGCUGAAUGAAAGAUUGACAAUAUGUUAUGAUAUCUCAAGAAAUAUAAUAUAGCUAUUUUGACAUACAAUAUUUACUCGAGAUAGUAUUGUGACUGGAAUAUACGUCUUUAAAGAGAACAAUAUUGAUGCUUUGGAUUGUAGAUCAUAGAGAAAGUGACUUUCCAAAAGAGUCUUCCAUUGAGUCAUUUGAUUUCGACAUUGCUAACCCAUCUUUGAUGAAAUCGAGAGAAGGAGAGAUGUGGUAGGGCUAGAUCUAUCAUCUAGAGGGGGUGAAUAUGUGACAAUGUAGAAUUGAAAUAAAAUUAAGAUUAUUGCAAGAGGACAACGUUUGGAGACAAGCUAUGCAGUGCUCAGAUCUUUUCAAUGUGCAACAAUCUAUCACAAAAUAUAAGCAAGAGAUAAAGGGAUAGAAAAAAAUUGUACACAACAAGUUUAUAGUGGUUUGGUAUUGACAAAUUUAUGUUCACUCUCUCAUGCUAACAGCUUAUCAUCUAGAUUUCACUAUGAUGAAUCGAUAAUAAGUUACAAGGACUGAGUAUUCACUAUUCAAACUAGGGUGAAAGAUUGUUUGAUCUCACACUCAUGAUCUCUAAGAAAUUACAAACUAUAGCUCACAAAAGACAAAUGUCUUUUAAGCAAAAGACUAUGUUGAAUUUUGGAAUUCAAAACUUUGAUAUUCUCUUGGCAUCCUUUAACAUUACAAGUUUCUUUUGCAUUCCUCAAUGUCCAAGUUGAUUGUUGGACCCAAGCUCUAAGGAUCAUUCAUCUAAUAAAUCCAUUGAACUUGAAUGUUGAAGAAGAUCUAAUUGCUUAUUGCUAAGAAUGAAGUUUCGGAAAAGAUCUACUAUCCAUACAGCAGAUAGGGUUUCCAUAAGUUGAAUCAUUCCUUUAGAUAACAUUCCGUCUACAAUUGAUUGUCUUGUUGAUAGAUUGAGAUAUUCCAAAUAAGUAAUAAUGCAUUUAAUAUCUUCCUUUCAGACAAUCGAUAUUUAUAAGGUAAGGAAUCUAUGCUAAUUUUCUAGCCGUAAGCACAAUGAUUCAUAGUUGAACUAAUAUCCUUAUUUCGUUGAGAUUGAAUAUUAAGGAUUCAAUGCAUCCUUGAGUCUGAUAAGUAAAUUCUGAUGAUAAAUUUCAAAGUUUCCACCUAGAAAAGCUUACCAUCGAAAUCAAAGGACAACUAAGAAAUAUUUUGUCAAUCUUCAAAAUUAAUUAGGGAGUUUUCCUUGACAAGAUGAUCCCCAAUAAUCAACCAAAAUACCACUCAAUGCAAAUGCACAAAAGAAAUGUCUUGUAGAUCUAUGAAGCACUUAUACUGUCCUGGACUUUUCGUGUUGUGUAGGACACUCCAACAUGUAUCCGAUAAUUUUCAACAUUUUUCAGCCCUCAGUUAAUAUGUGUCGACAAAUUCGACACCUGGUUAACUCUCCCAAUAUUCUUUGACACUCAAGUCUAGAAUUCCGACAUGCGAGUUCGAAAUUCCGAUAAACACCGAGUCAAUCAUAAAAUUUUCCAAUAAAUGAGGGGUCAAAAUGUAAGUAUGUAAAAAAAAAUAAUAAUAAUAACAAAAGGAGCCAAAAAUGAAUUUACACUAAAAACAUUAAUUUACCAUUUGUUAAUACCAUUCAUAGUUUAUUUGACAAAUUUAACUCCUUUCAAAUUAUCCAUAAAACUUAAAGGUAAAAAAGAAAAAGAAAAAAAAAGCUAUCAACAUUCUAGACUUGCGUGUCAAAGCAUGUUAGAAGAGACUUGAUAAUUUAGCAUGUAUAUAUAAAAAUAUACAUUUAAUACACGUGUCUCAACAUGUUGGAAUUCUCUAAUUUUUUAAAAAUAAAGUGUCGGCUUGUCAUGUUGUGUCAUGUCGUGUGUUGAUAUUGAUAUCGGUGUUGGUGCUACUUAGAUGUAGAUUCAAUGCAGCCUUCUAAUUGCACCAUGCCGUUGUUCUUAGAUUUGGCCAUUUUGGAAUUGACAUACCAUGCUCUACAAAUCGACGAUGUGGUCUGUCAUGCGCAUUACAAGUGGACGCCAUCGAUACUCAUGCUUUUCAGUUUGCAUUGCUAAUUUAGGUGGGUAAACAAGAAGAUGCAACAUGGGCGUUGACCGUUAAAAAUGGGAACUUCUGCUCGUUGUACGUCGUGCACUGGACAGAAGAAAUAUUCAUGUGAACAGGCUAAUUGAAGCACUUGGGUUCUAAAACUAGCAGUCCAGCAAGGUCGGGCUUUCUCUGCUAAAGCAGCUGUUCAGGCCCAUGUAGCAUGGAAGAUGUCAUGUUUUAGACACGGACUUAGACACGGACUUUCUUUCAGGUCGUCCUGCUUCUCUCCAUAUAAGCAACGAAAGCUCUCUAUUCUCUAUCAUCGCCAAAGCGAAGGGAUAGUAUGUAAUUGAGUUGUUUUCACUUACCAUACUUCAAUGUUCUCUGCUCAUAAAUUUUAGUUUCUCAUGGGGAGAUACUUUUGACCGAUUUUAUGUAAAAGUUUCCUUUCCCUUUUUUUGGGUGGAAUGUAAAUUUAUACGGGUCGUUGACAUAACAUGACGAGGAGUAAUGCCACAUAAAACCGUUUUCAGCUUCUCUAGAAGCUUCGUGAGCGAGUGGAGAGGAUCGAGGUGAGCAAAGAAUGCAACUGCCUAAUUAUGGGCAAAACUAGAAGGGCACAAAUGCAUUUCUCACGAAUUUCAUGGAUUAAUUUGGUUUCUUGCAGAUUGAGUUCGUCUUCAGGCAAAACGAAUGCAACCCAUUUCAAAACUACUUCAUGCAAUUCUCCAAUAUGAUUUUCUGCUUGAUGUUUCUUUAUAGUUUUUCAGAUUUUUCAUCAUUUUCUAGAUUUUUACUUGUUGAAGUUUUGACAAUAACCUUUUAUAUUAUAAGUGCAAAACAACGUUGUUUUGUUGCUGACGUGGCUAAAUAAGUGAUAUAAAAAUUAAUUAAAUUAAAUUUAAAAUCAAAUUUUACAAAAAAAAAAGGAGGAAGAAGAUGAAUAGCGGCUGAGGGCUCAAGCCUUGUUGCCGCCACCUCCUAGCCCUCGUCGGGAAGGGUCGGCCACGGUGUCGGCCACCGUCAGCGACCCCCUGGUGACUGUGGGGAGGUGAGGACAGCAAAGGUUGAGCCUCAGUUGCUCUUCACCUUCUUCAUUUUCCUUAUUUAUUUAUUUAUUUAUAAAUUUGGUUGUUAAUUUAAUUAAUAUUUAAAUUCAAAUUCAAAUAUGUACCAAAACGACAUCGUUUUUGCACUUCUUUGCUGAGUCAGCUCUCCGCGCGGGCUACGUAGGUGAGCAAAAUUAAUCAAAAAUUACCACGUAGGUGAGCAAAAUUAAUUAAAAAUUGCCAUGUAGGAUUUUCGGCAGGGUUCAAUGGAGAUGACACUCAAGUCCAAUUUUUUUAAAAAAAUAAUACUUAAGUAUUUCUUUCCUAAUUUUUGAUAGUUUAGUAUUUUUUUUGUGUCAAGUUUUGACACUUGAACUAUUCUUCUUUCUAUAUUUAGAGAAGAUCACAAUUAUGAAGCUCGGAAUCGUUUCGGAGUGAAAAUAGAGAGGAGGCUUUGCAAAGGAGCAGCUGAAAGAGAUGCGACUCCUUUACAUCUGACGACAUCUCGACUACACCAUGUAAAGAAUGAAACUCAGAGCAAUUCAUGGGACUGCCCAGCAGUGCCAUUUGCAAGCGAACCAGACAAUGCAAAUGUCGGUUUUGUUUUGCUCUGAAAGCUAUUGGAUUAUCCGAUCCAUGAAACAACAUUGUUUUUGUACGCUUCAAGUAGGCAUCGAGUGCCACGUUCUGGGACAAGCUAGCAAUUCAGAAGCAUUCUCAUUAACUAACCAAGAUAUAUAAUCAUCAGUUGUCAGAGGAUACAUAUAUCUAGCCACUACAGUGUAAUUGCUAAUCCGAUGAUAUGGUUCCAUGAUCAUAUUCAGUAUUCAGAUCCUAAAUUGAUUACAUUGCAUCAAUGUCAAAAGAAGAACUGAGGCAAUCAAUAGAAAGAGGAAAUGUUUCAUAAGUAAAAUAGUGGCAACACCUAGCUAGCUCAAUCAUCUGUUCACCAAUUGAGGAACACGGAUGAUCAGGCGACACUUCUGGGAAUCACCUUCAAUGCGAACAUGGAAAUCUAUUUGUUAAUUCCUAACCACCGAUAACAAAGGGCUAACUAAGCACAACCAAUUUGAAAGUAAGUGGGAUUCUAAAGCCACGUUCACGUAAAGACCACGGAAGGGUUUUGGACGUCAUCUUCUUCUCCAAGCCGCCAAGACUAGUAUUUUCUAUGGAGCUUCCAAUUUUAUGUUUCCUUUUAAAAUUAUUUUUCGUCUGUGUCGGUAUGUAAAAGCUUAAGUUCUUGAUUUGUCUCUCAUUUAUCGCUGUACAUUUUCAAAAUGGGGGUUCAACCGGGCUGAUUUUGACCAUCUUAAAGUUUUAGGUCAUGGAGCGUAUACCAACAGGGCGCGUGGUGGUUGAGAGUGAACAAGAUGCCUACGAUUUUCACAAUAGAUAGCUGAAGUAGGGUUCUAUAUGAUUUAUGUAGUGCCCUUCCUUUUACCGAGUGCUUUUUGAUAUUAGUAAUAGCAAAUAUCACUUUGUGGAGACUCCGUAAUUUCACGCAUCGUAAAAUUGAUUAUCGUUUACAUCUUUUUCUCUUUUCAAUGCAAAUUGAAUGUAGCUCAACAGACAAUGUGCAAAAUCCCACAAUUUUCUGAAGAAGAGAAGAAGAAUUGGAUCAGAUUCUCCAUGGUGGAUCAAACUGUUAAGAAUGAUGAAACUGAGAAAACGAUUUUUGAGAUUUCCUUUUGUUGCUUCGUGAUGCAAAAAGUUGAAGAGUUUUACAGGCAGUGCGAUCCUGAUUAGCUUUUCAUUUCUUCUGCCUCGUGGGGUUGUGGUUUUACUAAAUUUUUGUGUCGUGAAUUUGUUCGUUGAUAGGAAUUAGCCGUACCGCUACUUUUUAUUUUUUUGCUGAUGCGAUCUUAUAGUAACUUGAAUUUGGAGACUUUGUUAUACGUGUUUCGAGUGAGUUUCCCUUUGCAAAUGCACGACAGGCUAAAAAGGAAAGGGGAGUUUGAGCUUUUUGUUUGGUUUGUUACUUGAUUUCAUGCAGUGUGUUUGCUAAGUAACAUAACAUGAAGACGUGUAUUCUCAAGAAACUUCUCAUUAGCGUUCUUAUGUUUCUCUAAUUUCCCACCUCUGCAAAGUGACUCUUUUUGGAUUUUCAAUUUGCUUUGGAUCAUUUGAAUUCUGCAGCUUCCCUUUUCUUUGUUGUGAGACUACUGGGGAUAGUUGUUUCCCUGGACUUUAAUGUGGAAUCAUUUUAACGAAGAGUCCGUUUAAACAUAGAAGAUCAGUUCUAACAAUUCAUAACCCCUUGCAUUUGUAGUUUCAUAGCAAUGGCGAUGACCAAUUUUGGCAUUAAAUGUCUUAAAACAUCUUCUUUCUUUCAGUUGUUACUUACUGGUGAGCAGAUAAAAACUUAUUUUGCCACUUAUUUACUUGUAGAGUUGCUCUCAGUUGAAAUAUUUAAGCUGUAAGGAGGCUAAGCAGUGCACCUGUAUCUCUAGUUUUCUGAUAAGCGAUGCAAUGACAACCAGCCAAUAUAUAACCCUUGUUGGCAAAACCCUUGAUUGAUAAAGCUUUUCCCAGGUUAUUUCUAUAUGAUGCUGUUUCCUUUUAAGAAUCGGCAAUGUUACUUCUUUCUCGCUAAUACAUUCCAACCAAUAAAGAACCAUACGUUGGGGCAGAGUAACUCUUGUCGCUCCUCUUACAUGACAAAUAUUGACUCAAGAAUUCAAACAUACAUCUGUUCUGGACAAGUUAAGGUACAUUGCUUUAUUGCUUGUACUAAAUGCCGCAACUCUAACGUGUCGUUUGAUUGCUCACUCUUGAAUUUAGCUAUGACUCAUUGGCCCCCCAAUUUUAUUUAUUGUUGGUCAUCAAAAUGUUCUGUGAAAAUAAACAACAUAAGCUAGGCCUGUGCAUCUUCUGUAAAAUAAUGUGCUUUAUCCGCUACUUGAAUCUGAGGAUGAUUUUUUAAUGGUUCUUAUAAGCUAAAAGAAUCUGAUGCUUUCUGUUUAUGAAACUUGGAUGGACUGCAGAACAUGUUAUUUGAUGCGGCAGCUCAUUAGAAGGGAGGGAUAUACUAUCAACAAUACCAUUCGAUUCCGUUUUCUGUAUCUAGAUUUUGUUGAGCCCUUUUUUUUUUUUUUUAAAUCAUUAUGCUUUCUGGACGUUGUCUUGUUUAUCUACAUGACCCAACUAGUAAUUUCAAUCUUCCGACGUACUUGUACAUGUUCUGUUUGGUCUUUUGUAUAACUCCUCCUCCGCUUUAGAGAAGGAGAAGAUUUGUCUUUACGGAUUUCCAAGUGAGCAGUGGGAAGUCAACAUACCUGCGGAAGACAUGCCACUUGGGCCUCCAGAACUUGCCCUCGGCAUCAUUUUUGCCAGAGAUGGGAUGCAAGAGAAGGACUGGUUGUCGUUAGUUGCAGUUCCAGUGACACAUGGCUACUUCUUGUUAGAAAUUUGCGGAAAAUCAAGAUCCUGAUUAUCAGGAUCGAAUGCGGAAGUGUGUAAAAUUCUGUGCUAACCUCCAGCCAUUGAUGAAGUCGAGAAUUGAGUGCCUGUCGAACCAUCACAAGGAGGAGGAGGAGGAGGAGGAGGAGGACGCGCGGGCGCCGGGGGAGGAUGGGGUGCUGGGCUGCGACGAGUUCUGGAUGUACAAGUUUAAGGUGCGAAAGUGCGCCUGCGGGAGGUCACACGACUGGACGGAGUGAGAGUCCUUGGAAAAAGAGGUGCCAGCCUACUUCCAUUGACUCCCGUGAUCGAGGCAUGUCUUUGCUUGCGGAGUUUUGUGUUUGAGGUGGGUUUUCGAUCUCAUUCAAGCCUUCACCUAUCUAGGCAUUAGGUUGAUGUAGUAGGAUGGAAUAUGAUAAAUCAAGCCACUGUUGAAUCCUAUUCAACUCUUUGCUUUUGGGUGAGUUGUCAAGACAUUAGGUGAUUAGUAUAUGCAUGACAUGAUAAUUCACACGGACUUACUUUCCAUUGUAAGUCACUUUCUUUUGCAAGUUCUUUCUUCCACUGGCAUUCUCCAAUAUGUCGAGAUCUUGUGGUAAUUAAUAAUAUACGUCAUUCUUCUUUUGCCAUAGAUGAUCUUGCCAUGAAAGAUGCUAGGCACACAGAAAGAACCAAAAGGAGUUGUUGGACCUCCCCAUCAGCACUUAAAGGAGGUUGAAUUUCACAAUUAUUAUGGUCAACCUUGUGAUCUCAAGCUAGUGAAUUACCUUAUCGAUAAUGCCAUUGCUCUUGAGAAGUUAGUGGUAAAUCCGUGUGACGAAGAAUACUUCUCAGACUUGGAUGAGUUGGAAAAAGUGAAGGAACCUAGAGAACAUACUCUACAAUAUCUCAAGGGAAAGUUAUCUUCAAGAAUUGAGUUGGUGAUUAAUUAACAAAACCAGAGCCUCAUUCACUCGGCAUCCAUAGUACCGUCAUGGUUGACUAUUAUUCUGCAUUUUAAUCCUCUUCUCCUGUUUAGACUUAUUUUUUCGACCGCGGAUAUAAUUUUGCUUAUCAAUUAUUUGUUGUUCAUGAUUUUGUAAUUUGGAUUUUUAAGUUAUGAAUUGACUCUUAUGUGUUUUUACCAAAUAUGGGAAAGUGGCAAUGCCACGAAUAAUGGAUAUUUGUGGUUUUUAUUUUCACUUUACAAAUGGCUAACAUCUUUUAAACAUGAGAGAGGUAGGUAGAUCACAGGCUCUUUUGAACUCUGCUUUGUUUAUAUGUUCUUUUGAUCACAUUCAAAAAGACCACUAAAACCCAAACACAAAUGGCCAAUAUCGCUGCACUCUUAUAGCAAGUUUACGAUGCAUUCGCCGAAGCGGAGGGUGCCAUACAUAUGGUCCAGAGAAGAAGACAGAGGCGCAUGUAAGUAUCUACAAGACAUUAUCCAAAUUAUUUAUUUGUGUUUUGCUCUAAUAGAUUUCAUUUAUAUUUUCAGAGUGAAGUAAAUGAGGCCACAGUCAUCUGCAAUGCCGCUCGAGCAGAACUGGAUGGGGUUGCUGAAAUGAUCCGACAAGUGGACAUGUUGGUGCUGCAUACCAUUGGACAGACAAGGGCCUUCGUUUGCUUCAUUCCAAUAUUCAAUAAUCGAUGCAAUCUACAUAGUGUGCAAAUAUCGAACAACAUAGCUCGGCAACUGUAAAACAAUCAUCCUCUCUUGUUUGGGAUCGUUGGAGUGCCUAAAUCAAGCUUUCUUGGGAAUUGCCAAGGCUAGCUCGGGCUCGCAUAAAUGUACUCACAAGUAUCGUAGACAUUUUGAAUAUAGUCAAAACCAUGACCUUCACAAUCGUCAAAUCGAGAUUUAAAGAGAUUUAAAAUAUUUUAGAUAAAGGAGUAUCUAGAAAUUAUUUUUGGAAACAUCUCUCACUUGCUCACUUGGAUCGUAGAGAGACAAGUUUGUAGAGAGACAAAGGUUUUGGAGAGAGAAGCUCUGAACGAGAAAAUAAAAAUUUGAUUAUGAAGUAGUUGAAUGGAUGCAAUGACAGGAGGGCACCCCUUCUUAUACUAGUAGCCUUUGGAUUACAACCAUUGAUUGUUCCUUGAUCCGGUGGAUGAGAUCCUACCAUCUAACCUACCACCUAUUGGCAUUUAUGUUGAGAGAGUUCUAGAUCCUUGCACAAUUACCAUCUUGCUCAUGGGAACAUUCCGGAAGCUCUUGGGAAAAUUUGCAUUGCAUUUUCCGCUUCAUCGAACUCGUCGUAAGCCUGCUGCAAAUGUGCAAUGAUAUUCAUGUUGUUGGCCAUUUGUGUUUGGGCUAUAGGUGAUCAAAAGAAUGUAUAAAUAGAGCAGAGUUUGAAAGAGUUCGUUUUAAGUGUGAUCAACCGGCCUCUCUCAUGUUUAAAAGAUGUUCACCUAAUCUCCUCAUGAACAAUGAACAUCCUCUUCCCGGAUAAAUUUCUCUUAGUUUCUUCAAUUUUAAUUUGAGCAAGGGAGUGUCAAAUGGAUAGGUUGGAGUCGGGUGGAAAAUGGUCAAAUCCAAAUUGACCCAUUUAAUGUUAUAUUGAUCAAUCCAUUUUUAUGUAAUUCAAUUUUGAUAACUCAUACCCGACCUAAUCACAACCCAAUUCAUAUUCAACUGGACCCAUAUUAUCAAAAUAUGAUAGUAACUUACACCCAUGCACUUGUGUUCUUAUGCAACCCGCUAUAGCCGGUAACAAUGUCCAAGGGAAUUCCCACGUUAAUCUAGGCGCAACGUAGUAGUAUGAUUGGGUGAAUGUUUGUACCAAGUGAAGUGCACUAUCAUUUAGGCACACAAAAAUUUGCUUUUGACUAGAUUGACUAGACCGUAAUUAGAUAAAUACGUUCUCCUCCUACUACCACUUUAAUCACCAACAAAAAGGUAGAAGCACAAGAGAAAGAUACACUAAAAACUAGAAACAUCAAUUAUUCAUGGCCUUGACACUUCCCAUAUAACUUAAAAAUCCAAAUUAAAAAAUCAGGAACAACGAAUUAUUAAUAAGCAAAAUUAUAUCUGCCGUCGAAAAGAUAAGUCUAAACAAAGGAAGAUGAUCAAUGCAGAAUAAUAACCAACCAUAUAGUACUAGGGAUGCCAAGUGAAUGAGGCUCUGGUUUCGUUAAUUAAUCACCAGCUUAAUUGAAGGUAACUUUUGCUUGAGCUGUUGUAGAGCACGUUCUCUAGGUUCCUUCACUGUUUUCAACUUGCCCAAGUCGGAGACAAAUUCUUCGUCAUAGGGAUUCUCCACUAGCUUCUCAAGAGCAAUGGCAUUAUUGAUAAGGCAAUUCACUCCGGCACUGCAUGUCUUGAUUUCCGCAAAGGUAAGGGAAACAGUAACAUGCGAUGCAGAAGAGAAUAAAGAAAAAAAAAAACUGCAUUUUCUUGCGCGGUUUUGUUUGGAUCUGUAUAUUUAUCUGGAUUUAGGGGGUGCCCAGGUGCUCCAUUUUUGGUAUUCGGCGAUUUGUUUAAAGAAGAUUGAAUUUUUUUUACCCAUUUUGGAUUAUUUUAAGGAUUCUCGGUUGGAUUAAGGAAGAUGGGCGGUUUCGCCUUUUUAUUUUAUUUCAUUUUUAUAUUAUCGAUGCGGAUAUUUAAUGAAUAUUUGCACCAUUCUGAGAUUUACCAAACGAAAAAAAAUGAUAUCUUUUGGUUAAUUUCCGAUCGGUUUUGAUCCGGGUAAAAUGAGAGAUUUUCGGCCGAAAUGUCGAUUCUGAUUGUUUACAUCAUUUUAGAAACUUUCAUUGUGAAUAGGAUUUUUGGGUUUUCUACGCGACGAAAUUUGAUUUGAGUUUCUCUUGAUUCGAGUGAGAUUUUCUUAAUUUCGUGCAGGCGCGUGCAAGAAGGGCGACUCGUGCGAGUUCGCCCACGGCGUGUUCGAGUGCUGGCUCCACCCGGAGCGAUACCGGACGCAGGCGUGCAAGGACGGGCAGAGCUGCCGCCGCCGCGUCUGCUUCUUCGCCCACUCCCCCGACCAGCUCCGUGUCCUCCCCGGCCAGCAGCAGCAGCAGCAGCAGCAGCAGCACAGCCCCAAGAGCGCCACCGACUCCGAGUUCGGGUCCCCGGUCCGCCCCUCCGCCGCGGCGGCGGCGGUGGCCUUCGACUCCUACCUCACCAAGCCGUGGUCGGCCUUCUUCAUAUCCUCGCCCACCUCGNNNNNNNNNNNNNNNNNNNNNNNNNNNNNNNNNNNNNNNNNNNNNNNNNNNNNNNNNNNNNNNNNNNNNNNNNNNNNNNNNNNNNNNNNNNNNNNNNNNNNNNGCAUGAGGAACAUGCAGAUCGCCAAGAUGAAGAUGAGCCCCCGCGGGCAGAUGGGGGGGUCUCUCUUCGGUUCCCGCUCCGACCCGGGUGCCACCUUGCGGCGCCGGUGACUCCCAGGGCCGAGUCUUCACCGCGGUACGGGCAACUCGGCGGUGGAGGCGGGCUCUUUGAUCUGUGGGAGUCUCACCGUCGCUGCGAGGAGGAGCCUUCGAUGGAAAGGGUCGAGUCCGGGAGAGAUUUGAGGGCUAAGAUGUACGCCAAGCUCAGCAAGGAGAAUUCCCUCGAUGGAACCGACCUUGUCGGGUCCGGAACCGGACCCGGACCCGACGUGGGUUGGGUCUUUGAGCUGGUCAUGUGAAAGGCCGAAGAAGCAGCAGCUUCGAGUCCUCCCCGAGUCGACUCGGAGCUCGAAUUUUGUUUGGGUCGAAAGAAGUGAUUUUUUGGGGCUGGUGGGUGGUGUUCAGCAAUCGGGUGGCCUGUUGAUUAAUCUCUGACUCGGAUGUGUGAAUAUAUCUCGUGUUCAUUUCCAUUGUCGAUGAUGAUUACCUUCCUUCAUCUCAAGGUGUAAAUAUUGGCUGGCGGGAGAGAUUUCAAGUCUCUGUUUUGCGGUCCGAUGACUUUCCAGUUCCCUCUCUCUGUAAAUGAAGUUUCAGUAAAUCAUUCUUAAAAUAUUCGCAAUGCAAUUGCAGAUUUCUGUAUAGGAAGAAACAAGAACGUGGAAGUUCGAUCUGGGGUUGGCUUUUUGGGGCUUGUAUUGUUGAUUAUCGUUUUUUGGUCAAGUCCUUGAAAUCUCUGUAUCGUCUCAUUUUCUCGGAUUAUAAAUGCUAAUUUCCCUUUCGUGAGUGCUCUGUUCUUUACUCUGUUCUUGGCUCUGUUCAUGCUUUCUUCCUUCUUCGGACUACAGUGACGGGAAUUAGUCACAUCAUUAGCACAGUGAUUACGAGAUCAAGAGUGGGGAUUAAAGAAACAUAUCUCUCCAACCGACUCUGUCCCCAGCAUGCGGAAAGACCGGUUCAGCACCUGGGUUUAUCUUCCAAGUCGGCAUAAUAGAUGAAGAAAAACCAGAUGAGGUUCUUGAUGUGGACGUGUUUGAGUUGAGUUGAUA
rnacentral:lncRNA from 1 species